rnacentral:lncRNA from 1 species
CUCUGACAUCGGUUCCACAGUGAGAGGUCGUGUAUGUCCCUUUAAGAAGCAGGCGACUCCUCCAAUCAUGUGACAUCGUUUGUAUCCAAUGGCUGUGUACAAAAUGUAAAAUCUGGUUCAAACCGGUUUGCAUCUUAUAUUUCUAUAUAAAAACUUUAUAAAACAUACAGCCGUUAUUAUUUUACAUUUACCAUAGCCCGGUGUUACCCACUUGUGGCCGUAAACAAGCCGAUUCUCUUCCACUGUCUUCCUUUGCCAGACGGUGAAAAUGCCCAAAAGAAAGAUUGAUGGAGACAAAGCUGCCAAGAGCAAGGAGGAGCCUAGACGUUCUGCCAGGUUGUCAGCUAAACCAGCUCCUCCAAAACCUGCACCUAAGCCUAAAAAGGCUGCACCCAAGAAGGCACCUAAAGGAAAGAAGGGCAAAGACAACCCAGCUGAAAAUGGUGAUGCCAAGAUAGAUCAGGCACAAAAGGUGGAGACUGCUGGGGAAACCAAAUGAACAGUGUUGAAUUUUUGAUCAUUCUAUGUACUUGGUGACUGUACAGUUUUAAAUAACUAUUUUUUACCAAGUUUUAUAUGAAAAUUGCCCUUGUUAGUAGUAUAUUGUUAGCUACAUUUGAUGUAUUGAAGCGUGUGUAAAGGGGUUUUAUUGUGCUCUUUUUAUGCCAUGGUCAUUUGAACUCCGUCCGUAUCCUGUUGGAAUGAUGUCGUGCCCUUUCUAAAUCAGUUUUGAACUGCUGAAUGUUAUGGUUUCUGUUUUACAUUUUGGUUUUUAAAAUAUAAUUUUAAAAUACCAAACAUUAUGAUAAGGCAGCUAAAAUAUAUUUGUAAGACAAAUCUUGUGGGAUUAACUUUGUCCCUUCAUUUUAUAGUUCCACUGAGCAUACAUGUAAGUUCAAUUGAUUUGUUAUAAAGUGCUUUUAAACAAAUUUAAAGCAUUAAUGAAGGUCUAUGAGUUAGUUAUAGCAAGACCGCUAAAUGUGUGAAAUGUUAAAUCCAUCCCAGUUACCACAUUAACAUUUAAAGCAUCUGAAUUUUCAUCAAUAUUUAAAAAAAAAAAAAUGUUUAAAAACUUGGAAGAUUUUUUUUUUUCUCAAAUAUUAAUGUGUUCUUGAAUAAAAAAAUAAAACUUUCUUCGGCUUGAUUUUUU